UGAAGGUACAUCGAUCUGAUUAUGUUUUAUUAAUUUUUUUCGAACUCUAAAUGCUAUAUUAAAAAUUGUAGAAGAAACGAAACGAAACGUCUGGAGUAUGUAGUUUUUAAAAUAAUAAAAUUCACGUAGUUUUAUCCGAAAAAUAUUAAUUUCAUUUAAAUGAAUACUCGCGAAAGUCUUAGAUUUCAUUCAUUGUAGAAGAAGUUAUCUAUACAUUACAUUAAUUACGUCACUAGCGUUAUUUUUACAAUUACGUAUUUUUAGCGUUCACCUUCGUCCAAUCACCUCGUCUCUCACAAUCAGACCUAAUCAAUAAAUAGUUCUCUAACAAAAUUUCAACACCGCGAUAUUUUCGGUUCUUUUAGUAUGUGCUUCAUUUGUUUUUGAGAUUGUUUAAUAUUAGCGAGUCGAUCUGUUCUUGGUUAUUGUCCUAUUGUUUUUGGUCCGCGAGACCAAAGCGAUGCUCGGUUGUUUCGGUUUCUGAGGAUGGUGGUGCCUGUGAUGCGGAGUAUAGUCUAGAAGCUCAAGAAUAAAAUACGGUUUUAGAUAAGGGACGAGCAGCAGGAUGAUGCAUAAGAUGAAUUAUCUCGAAUAAUAUACAAAUCGAUGGAUCGUUCUGAUUGUUAGAAUAUUAAACCAUUCACGAUCAAUACUUUUCAUGCUGUUAUUUUUUUCCUUUUUAUUUCAUACCAUAGUCUUUUUACGUAACCAUAAAAAGGAAGUUUAAAUAUGUUAUUUGAAUUAGAAUGCCAAAAAAAAAAAUAAAAUUUAAAAGAUUUUACAAAAUAAAUUUAAAUUACUAAUAUU